rnacentral:rRNA from 1 species
UACGUAGGGUGCAAGCGUUAAUCGGAAUACUGGGCGUAAAGCGUGCGCAGGCGGUGAUGUAAGACAGUUGUGAAAUCCCCGGGCUCAACCUGGGAACUGCAUCUGUGACUGCAUCGCUGGAGUGCGGCAGAGGGGGAUGGAAUUCCGCGUGUAGCAGUGAAAUGCGUAGAUAUGCGGAGGAACACCGAUGGCGAAGGCAAUCCCCUGGGCCUGCACUGACGCUCAUGCACGAAAGCGUGGGAGCAAACAG